rnacentral:rRNA from 1 species
GUCUAUGGCCAUGCCACCCUGAACAAGCCCAGUGUCUUAUCUCGGAAGCUGAGCAGGGUUGGGGCUGGUUAAUACUUGGAUGGGAGACCACCUAGGAAGACCAGGUGCUGUAGGCA